GUGGGCUCUGCCUGUCCCCACCCCCACCUGGGGCCUCAUACCAUCCCACUAUCAUGGGUAGUGCCUACCACUGGGAGGCCCGGCGCCGGCAGAUGGCUUUGGACCGAAGGAGAUGGCUGAUGGCCCAGCAGCAGCAGGAGCUGCAGCAGAAAGAACAGGAACUGAAGAAUCACCAGGAGGAAGAACAACAAUCGGAGGAAAAACUCCAGCCACAUAAGAAGUUAAAUGUGCCGCAACCACCAGUGGCGAAAUUGUGGACAUCACAGGAGCAACCACAGCCAUCACAGCAGCAGCCAUCAGUGCAGCCACCAUCACAGCCACCACCACAGCCAUCAACAUUGCCACAGGCACAGGUGUGGCCAGGGCCACAGCCACCACAACCACAGCCACCACCUCAGCCAACACAACCAAGUGCUCAAGCCCGUUGUACUCAGCACACCUCCAAAUGCAAUCUCCAGGAUUCCCAAAGGCCAGGUCACCAGCCUACUUCAGCGGGGAUCUACUAAGCUGGAGGGCAAUCUCUGUAUCAACAACAGAUUCCAGGGUCUCAUGAACCCAUGCCAAUCUAGCCCCAUCAGAAACACUGGGUAUUCACAACUCAAGUCUACCAAUUACAUACAGCAGUGGUGAUCCAGAGAUUGAACCCAGGACCCCAUGGCCAUCCCCAAAAUGCAGAUGAGCAACCACAUCUUCUCAGCAUCCAGCAAUAUCUCCACUCCAAAAGCCACCCACUCUAGAAGAGGAGGCUGCCAGGAAUAAAAUGUAAUUUUUUUCCUGGGAAG
rnacentral:lncRNA from 1 species